rnacentral:misc_RNA from 1 species
CCGAGUUUACAACUCCCAAACCCCUGUGAACAUACCUAUACUGUUGCCUCGGCGGAUCAGCCCGCGCCCCGUAAAAAGGGACGGCCCGCCCGCAGGAACCCUAAACUCUGUUUUUAGUGGAACUUCUGAGUAUAAACAACAAAUAAAUCA